rnacentral:rRNA from 1 species
AGCGUCAGCGGCGUUAACUCGGCGGAUCGUGCGUCGUCUCGGACUUCGGUCUUGGGACUCGUAAUCUUUCCAUGCCUUGUUUGGCGUCGUCGUCGUGCACUUCUUCCCUAGUAGAACGUCGCGACCCGUUGGGUGUCGGUCUACGGUCCGAGCGGUAGACUGUCGCGUCGCUUCGGCGCACGCGGCAGACCCUCGGUCACCUGGCCGGCUGCCCGGCGGUCGAACUUAUAAGGUAUCUUGCCGCAAUUUUUGAACUGCGUCGGGCCCGUCGCAAGCGAGGCCAGUGUCUUAC